CCUACGUGAGGCAGCAGUGGGGAAUAUUGCGCAAUGGGCGAAAGCCUGACGCAGCGACGCCGCGUGAGGGAUGAAGGUCUUCGGAUCGUAAACCUCUGUCAGCAGGGAAGAACGGUCACUGUGCUAAUCAGCAGUGAAUUGACGGUACCUGCAAGGGAAGCACCGGCUAACUCCGUGCCAGCAGCCGCGGUAAUACGGAGUGUGCGAGCGUUAUUCGGAAUUACUGGGCGUAAAGCGCUCGUAGGCGUUAUGUCAAGUCAAGGGUGAAAUCCCCGCGCUCAACGUGGGAACUGCCUGUGAGACUGGCAAACUAGAGUGUGUGAGAGGAUAGUGGAAUGACAGGUGUAGGAGUGAAAUCCGUAGAUAUCUGGAGGAACAGCAGUGGCGAAGGCGACUAUCUGGCACAUAACUGACGCUGAGGAGCGAAAGCGUGGGUAGCAAACAGGAUUAGAUACCCGGGUAGUC
rnacentral:rRNA from 1 species